CUAAUACCGCAUACGUCCUACGGGAGAAAGCAGGGGACCUUCGGGCCUUGCGCUAUCAGAUGAGCCUAGGUCGGAUUAGCUAGUUGGUGAGGUAAUGGCUCACCAAGGCUACGAUCCGUAACUGGUCUGAGAGGAUGAUCAGUCACACUGGAGCUGAGACACGGUCCAGACUCCUACGGGAGGCAGCAGUGGGGAAUAUUGGACAAUGGGCGAAAGCCUGAUCCAAAAGGGCCGCGUGUGUGAAGAAGGUCUUCG
rnacentral:rRNA from 1 species